rfam:Gossypium raimondii Chr11_contig_33, whole genome shotgun sequence.
UGUUAUGAAUUUCACCUAUUUCUACUGUUAAAAACUGACGUGGCUAACAGAAUAAUCAGACAAUUACACGUGGUGUGCUACGUGUACCUCAUACUGGCGUAGAGAGAUUAGUUUUUAAUAGCAAAAAUGGAUGGAAUUUUUAACA